UUUGUGAGAGAUUUAUUGGGAGAAAGAGAGAAGGGAUGGUGGCAGCAGAAAGAGAAGGGGGAAAGAGAGAGAGAGGGAGGGGUUAUUCCCCUUAUUUAUAUGGAAAAUGAUGUAAGGCAGAUAAAGGUGGUGGUGAGCCAAGUGGAUUCUAGGAAUAUGGUGCCUGUUGUCUUGGCAACAGGUCUGCAUGUCAUGCUGUUGCCUAUGUGAUGUCAUAGGUUUGGGAGAUUCUGAUGCCUACAGGAUGCACUUAUCAUUUUCCCCAGUACAAAGACCAUCAUGCAAUACCAGAAUGGUACCCAGCAAGAUGCUGAUGGAGCACUUACACCUGUGAGUCAAGGGUCAGACUCAAAAGCAGACACAGAAAGAAAGAAACACAGAUCUUCUAAAGAAGAAAGCACCAUCAGUAAGGACAGUAUUCCAGUUUUAGAUGAAGUGCAAGACAAAACCUUUGAACAUCAAGAGUCAGGAUUAAGAUUAGAAGUUCAGGCAAAGAAACUAACGUUCAGCCCUCAAAAUAUUCACAAUAAAGAAUCAGCUACAGAUAUUAAAGUGGAGUAUCAAAAUGUACCAUCAAGCUCCCAAGUCCAGUUAAAGAAGCAAAAGCCUUUGGGAGGAGAAAUAUUUACUACUCAUUUUGUAGUACCAGCGGAAAGUCAUGCACAAUUAUAUCAAACGUAUACACCAGAAAUACAAAUAGAAAGAGGAACAACUUCUGGCACUGCAAGACUCACUACAAUUCCUGUAGAACACCCUAAAAAGGAAGCAUCACCGGACAAUCUAUUUCCUGAGAAGAAACUUUAUAUAACUAGAGCCCCGACUCAGACCAAGAAACAGUACCCUCCUUGGGACACUAAUGCAGAGACUCAGAAAAAAACAGUCAAAGAAGUUCAGGGGAUAUCAGAACCUCAGACAAAACUGAACCCAACGAUGAGUGGCAUCAUAUUACACUUGGACAUGGACAGAGUGGUUGAGACUGACCUAGAAAACUUGGAAGAGACCAUUGUACCACAUGUAUUAAGAAGUGAACUUGAGAUUGGCACAGAUGCAAAAAAUAUGCCUGAAACACCCACAUCAAGGGAAGCAGUGAGAACAGAGGCAAAGGGUAAUCAAGAUGUGACUAUUUCCAUCGCUAAAGGCAUGAAACUAAUUGGAAAACUGAAAGAUCAACAUGGUUUGAGUUCAUUUGCAAGUAAAGAUACCAUUAGUCCAGGGAAGAGCCUGAUAAAGUCAUCCAGAGACAAUCAAGAUGACAGUUUAUUGGAAACCAAACCUCAAGAAAAUACAAGUGACAAGUACCACCCAUCAAAGACAUUUCCAACAAAAGUGAUCAACAUGUUACCCUUCUCUGGUAAAGGUACGAGAGGGUACACAAAGACAAACAACAAGGUCUAGUAGCCUAAAACAGCCCAGAAGUGUGCCUUUUCACUCAUCUUCUUUGCACUGCCCUUUUUUUUAAUGCUUUUUUUAAAAAAAUUUUUAAUUAGGUAUUUUCUUCAUUUACAUUUCCAAUGCUAUCCC
rnacentral:lncRNA from 1 species